AAUGAACGUUGGCGGCGUGGAUUAGGCAUGCAAGUCGUGCGAUAACCGUAGCAAUACGGGGAAAGCGGCGAAAGGGAGAGUAACGCGUGGAUACCUACCCUUCGGACCGGGAUAGCCGUGGGAAACUGCGGGUAAUACCGGAUAACGUCUCCGGACCAAAGGUGUGAUUCCGCCGGGGGAUGGGUCCGCGUCCUAUCAGCUAGUUGGUGGGGUAAUGGCCUACCAAGGCAAUGACGGGUACGAGGUGUGAGAGCAUGACCUCGCUCACUGGGACUGAGACACUGCCCAGACACCUACGGGUGGCUG
rnacentral:rRNA from 1 species